UUCUUAUUAGCUCAAGGGUAGAGCAUGAUACUUCUAAUAUCAUGAUUUAAGUUCGAAUCUUAAAUAAGAGU